UCUGUGUUUCCCAUCCUAGUUUCAAACUUUUGGACUCAUGAGCUCCUCCUCCCUGAAUAUAGAUCUGGGACUGCAGGAACCUGUCACAUUUCCAGACACAAUGUGUAUAUGUCAGGAGACAGCCAGAACAAUGAAAAGACCCCAGUCUACUUACCAACUCAGUGAGUCAAGUUGGAAAAGCCAAAAGCAAAGGAUAAGUGAAAGGCGAAGGAAAUGUGCAGCAAGGAGCAAAUUUUGUGAGGCAGUCAAGGAGAGCCUCUGUGGGAGGGACCAUGUGAGAGUGAAGACUCAGAGGACCCAUGAAGAAAUUGAGGGGGCUGGACUCUCCCUCUGAGCCUUGCAGCUUGUAAGAAAGAUUCCACCAUGUAUUCUUUGGAACCAUGUAUUCUGUUGAUAAUCACCCUAUAGAAUUGUAUUAUCUAUUGUCAAGCCCAGC